rnacentral:rRNA from 1 species
UACGGAGGAUGCGAGCGUUAUCCGGAUUUAUUGGGUUUAAAGGGUGCGCAGGCGGACCUGCAAGUCAGCGGUGAAAUGUCCCGGCUCAACCGGGGAGCUGCCGUUGAUACUGCGGGACUUGAGAGCGGGCGGCGCCGGCGGAAUGUGUCAUGUAGCGGUGAAAUGCAUAGAUAUGACACAGAACACCGAUCGCGAAGGCAGCUGGCGAGGCCGCAUCUGACGCUGAGGCACGAAGGCGUGGGGAU